ensembl:lncRNA
UGAAGAUGAAGACACAGACUCUGACAGAAAUGAACAGGAGGAGGUGAAGGAGAUCCAAGAUGGCCGACAGGAGGGAGAGGAGGAGGAGGAUGAGGUGAAGGAGCUGAUGAAGGAGGCCAAAAAGACGGAGGAGGUGGAGCAGAGGAGGAAGGCGGAGGUGGAGUUGUUGAUGGAGAAGAGGAAGGUGCAGAGGGAGCUCCAGGAUCUGCAGAAGAAACCCACAGCGGAGGGAGAGAAGGAGGUGCAGAGGAAGACCGAGGAGCUGAAGGAGCUGGAGGCAAAGAUGCAGAGAGUCAGAGAGGAGGAGAAGCAGAGGAAGACCGAGCCCAGCGCACCUCCUCAGAGUCAGACAGACAGAGAGGAGCAGAGGAAGAGCGGAGGAGAGGAGGAGCAGAGGAAGAGCAGCGCAGAGGAGCACCCA